CCUUCUACCUGAGUGAGAGGCAGCCAGUUUUGGGUAGCAGGAUUUUUACCUGCCCUCACCAACCAAAGAGUGGGUGAUGCUUCUGCCUCUAGCUCUCCCUUGGUGACUGUAUACACGUACCUGCAGCCUCUACCCGUCAAACGGAUUGCAACAAGUGUCAGGACUACAGGGAUUCAGUAUAAUUCAUGGUCAUCAAAACGUCUUGCAGGGAGUGCACAACAAGGAGUACACUGGAUUGAAUGGGACGGCGUGUUGGAAUGCAAACAAGAAUGUGAAGUGUUUUGUAUGAAUAUGGAUUCUUCCAUUCCAAUAAGAGCUGGCUGUCAGCAGUUCUGUUUGAAGCUGGAGCACGUUGGAACUCAACCACUGCACAAGGAUUAGAGGCUCACACGUUCUAAGGCAUUAGUAAAAAUAUAUUCCAGGUGGAUUCUGUCUCUUAAAUGCAUCAGUGUUAUUAAGGCAGCAGAAUUUUUUGGCAUGCAAUCUCUUCCAAAGCAUUGACUCAUGGGAGGAGGAAGGAGCAGCUUUUCCUUUUACUCAGCUUGCAAGCCUCUGACGGUCUGCUGGGAUGUUCUGUCCAAGGAGUUUGGUCAGAGGUGUUGGAGUGAGCUGUGCUCAGCUGGGCCUGGCAGCAAAACUGGGAGAGGCUCACAAUGAGGGUGAAAGGGAGGAGGAAAACCAGACGUUCUGCUUUUAUCAUUGUCAUGCUACAGGGCUUUAAACAGCAAAAUCUGUGCUGGUAGGAAAGCCCAUGCCUAAAUCUCUUGGAUGGUAAAUGUGGACUAAGAGAAGGCUCCUAAGUUAAACUGACUGACUUAAACUGACUGGUAUGCUCUAGGAGUGUAAACCUACUUAAAUUCUGAAAUAAAAACAGCAUCAAAACUAAAUGCAACUGAAGAACAAUGCAGUGCAAAUUUGAAGUCUACUUCUUUUCUUCCAGACAUGAGAAGAAGAGCUGAUGUACCUAAAAGCUUGUCUAAGUUUUCUAGCUGCGCUGCUUUGUUUCAGGUAUGAACACAGACUGGCAGAAGAACUCCCUGAAGCAGCCCUGUGGUGAAGGACGUGGAGUUCUGAUGGAGGAAAAGCUGACGUGAGCAGCAGUGUGUGCUUGCUGUUCUACAAUUCCUUGCUUUGCCAUCAGUUUGAAGGCUUGGUCACAUUGCAAGAAAAAGUGCUAUUAUGGAAGAUAAACUUUAGCUGUGAGUACUUGGGUAGCUGCCAAGUGCCAUGGAUGUGAUUUUGCAGACUGCUCACUGUGGUUGUCAUCCAGUCUUGUUCUAGUCUUGUCUGAAGUCUCCUCUCUUGCAUUUCAGAACAGACGUUGGCAUUAUAAAGGAUCUGUGCAGUAGAAUCCCUUAUGAAAGGGAUCUGAAGGGAAGCAGGGGCCCAAGAAAGCUGGUUAUUGUCCAAGGAUCACUUUCUGUAAGCUCAGGAGCAAUGCAUCCUGAGGAAGUGACAGAGGUGCUGCAGGUGUUUGUAGCAAAGUUGCCCUGGUCAAAUUAACUGGGGGUUUGUGAGGAUUGGUGAGCAAAUCCAUUCCAGCUGGUGGGUUGGGGGAUCUGUGGGUAUGGAAAUGUUGGAAACAUCCAUCCAUAAUGCUUCCAAAUGCUAUUUUGUUGCAUCAGAAACUGUGUUUAUGCAGUCAGGAAUUGUCACUUCCCAUGGCAGCCUUUCCUAUGUGCAAGCAUUAGUUUAAAUAAUUGCAGAGUCCAGGCCUGACAUAUCUGUUCUAUUCCGUUUUGACUUGAAGGAGGAGCAAAGAUGACAAGGAAGAAAAUGCGGCCUAACAGUGGGUUAUGGAUUGGAACAAAGUGGAACAAAGGAUUCUGAGUGCACAAAUAACUCCACGUGGCUGAAAGAGAGGUGACAGGCACAUCCCCUGCACCAGAAGUUCUGCAGAAUUAUUAAGCUGGGAUUUCAGAAUAUCUUAUUUACUGUCAUGAGCAAAUAGUGAAAGAAAUGAUGUACUGAAAUGGUCUUCAACAGACAGAAGAAACAUUGUGGUCUUCAUAAGAGAUCGCCAUGCAGACAUAAUGCUCAUUAUCUGUGCAGGAGGUCGCCUUUGCAUGCUGGAGGAAAACACUGGAGAUGGGGAAGAUACCUACAGUCCUUCUGUGACUUGGGACAUAAUAAAGUAAACAUGAGUCAGUUUGUUGUGCAAGAGCUCAUUUGGAGCACAAAGACAGGAGUGUGCUGAAUGCAAUUUCCUUUGUAAGUUUCUGAGAUAAAAAACACCACUGGAACUGAAGUGGGGAGGUCCAGUCCUCCAGCACUGAAAUGGAGAUGCAAAUACUUGGAACAGAAGAUUGACCCUGUAAGACUGCCUUGGUGAUGCCUGACAGAUCGUAGGAUCAUUAAGGUGGGUUCAGCACUUUAUCAUUGUGCAGAAGCCAAAACUCUGACACUUGAAAAGAUGAACGUUGUCAACUCUCAGCUGGUGUUUCAUCCAAGGGGAAAGGCCUGUGUUGAUUUGAACCAUCUAAGAAUAUGUCCAUAUCUGCCUUCUUUCAGAGCAGGCAUUUCAGAAAUAACGCAGGGAAGUUGCAUUUCUGCAAGGCCUGUGUACCUGACCUACAUACACAGCUUUAAAAAUUCCAGUCCUUAGGAACUACAAUGAAACUCAGCGUUGCUCUGUGUUGCAAAAAAGCCCACUAUGUUUCCCUUUUUCUCAGUAUUUUACAUGAAAAUGCUUUGGCAGGGGGAAAAACAGAGGAAAUAUUUCUACUUGUGUUUAAUUUCAGUUACUUGAAAUAUUUCUUUGGCAGAAUGAAAUUAAUUGCUUUUUUUUUUUUUUUUAUACUGAGAACAGAGGCUGUCCUGUGAGGCUGGACCUGGGUAGCAUGGUAAUCAGUAGAACCACAGUGGGAUAGUGGCCUGUUUUGUAUCCAAAAGAGGAGAUUGGUGUUGGGGAUAUCAAGGAUCCCCUGCUGUUUUUGCAGGUGUAUUUUCUGGUUUUACACAAACAGCUGCUGGCACAGGCACUGACUCUUGCUCUGGUCCUGGCUUUGAUGCCCAGUCCUGUGCUGGUAAGAUGCACAGAAACACUUCAGUCCUUGAAUUCCCAGGGAAGUUGUACUGGGUCUCUUAUGAGCCUUGUCUGUUUUAGGCUCUUGAUACAGUCAGGUCCUGAAGUUUGUACAUUCUGAAUCGCCAGACUGUUGCUCUUGGUGUACGUGCAUCUGAACUAAUAACUCAGUUCACUGGAGACUGUUUGAAUAAAUAGGGAGCAGUGGGAAUAAGCCCAAAGCUUGUGGGGCUGGCAGCAUUAGUAAUACUUCUGCUGAAACACACCUGUUGUUGCUUUUCCCAGAGGAAGAUUUGGUGUUCAGAAGCCCUCUGACACACGAAAAAGACCAUGAUUUUAGAUCUCCAAACCAGCACCACCCGAGUGGGUUUGAACAGUGCUGCUGAUAAACAGAUAAGCACUAACUGUGCAUUUCUGCUGAUAACUUGGUUGUCAAAUCUCAGGCUCAUGCAAUUGGAACUGCUGACUUAUUAAACCUCACAAGCUGGGCUUCAUAAUGGAAACAGAAACUCAAUGAACCUUAAUUACAGCUGCAGCACUGACCAUGGCGUAGCUCUUCACACACAGGAGUUCAGUGUGAAGGGGUGAGUGUGGUAGAAACCACUUGUCAGGAAUGGUGUUAGCAGUGAAUGUGGCUUUUCUCCAUUCUGCUCACCAGGCUCAGUGGAGCAGUGUUAGCACCAGGAGAGUAAUACAGAAGCUAUUAACCUUUUCUUUGUGCCACGUUUUCAAGACUCAG